GGUUAAAAAGCUCGUAGUUGGAUUUCUGUCGGUGAGUAGCAGUCCGCUCACAGUGGUAGGUACUUGUUUUCCCACCGGCAUCUUCCUGGGGACUGUGUCUGCUCUUUAUUGAGUGGCGCAUAAUCCAGGACUUUUACUUUGAGGAAAUAGGAGUGUUUCAAGCAGGCAAUCGCCGUGAACAUGUUAGCAUGGAAUAAUAGCAUCGGACCUCGUUCCAAAGCUGUUGGUUUCUUGGACCGAGGUAAAGGUGAAUAGGGAUUGUUGGGGGCAUUCGUAUUUAACUGUCAGAGGUGAAAUUCUUGGAUUUGUUGAAGACGGACUACUGCGAAAGCAUCUGCCAAAGAUGUUCUCAUUGAUCAAGAACGAAAGUUAGGUGAUCGAAGACGAUCAGAUACCGUCCUAGUCUUAACCAUAAACUAUGCCGACUGGAGACCGGGGGUCGUUAACUUUGUGACACCCUCUGCAUCUUGAGAGAAAUCAAAGUCUUUGGGUUCCGGGGGGAGUAUGGUCGCAAGGCUGAAACUUAAAGGAAUUGACGGAAGGGCACCACCAGGAGUGGAGCCUGCGGCUUAAUUUGACUCAACACGGGGAAACUUACCAGGUCCAGACAUAGUAAGGAUUGACAGACUGAUAGCUCUUUCGAGAUACUAU
rnacentral:rRNA from 1 species